rnacentral:rRNA from 1 species
AUUUGUCCCCUAAAUAGGGACUAGUAUGAACGGCUAACUGAGGUUCUAACUGUCUCAUUAGACUAAUCAAUGAAACUGAUCUUUCAGUACAAAAGCUGAAAUUUACCCAUAAGACGAGAAGACCCUGUGGAGCUUAAAACUCGUACUAUAGCGCAUCAUAUCAAACUUUUUAGUUGGGGCGACUUUGGAACAAAACAGAACUUCCAUGCCAGGUCCCUAUAAAGGCCAACAAGCCAAAAUACACCAUAUUGACCCAGCUUAUCCAGCUGAGCAACGAACCAAGUUACCCCAGGGAUAACAGCGCCAUCCUCUUCAAGAGUCCAUAUCGACAAGAGGGUUUACGACCUCGAUGUUGGAUCAGGACACCCCGCUGGUGCAACCGCUA